ACAAAAUAAGCUAAUAAAAGGUGACCAUUUCUCGUCUUUUACCAUACGUCGGUAUGAUUAACUUGCUGUUUCUGUCGCCUUAUGUUAUUGUUUAGUUAGCAGUGCUCUGCAGUGGUUUUGAGUUUAAUUAGCCAUGUGUUAGUGAAAAUUGUUUGUUUCGUCAGUUCCAUUAGAUACCCAUCAGUCACAGAAAACAAAUUUAUUAGUUAUUUGCUUUGUUAUCAUUUGGGUCUAAAAUGUGAUUUAUUCGUCACUUCGCUUUAUAAAAUCUUUUUCAUGAUUUAGAUUUGUUAUUAAAUAGGAGCAUUUAGUACAAAUUAAACUUUCAUUCUUGAGUAUGUUUUUGUGGCUAUCAUUUAUAAAUUGUCAAGAAUCGUAAAUUUUGUGGAAAACCCCACACAUUGUAUAAGUACCAAUGCAAAUUACAGAUAAUCAUAAUUUUAUCAUUUUAUUAAUAAUUUAGAAGAAAAGCUUAUUCUAUUGUUCCCGUUGUACUCGCUUGAGUACUGAAAAAAUUGCGACUUGGAAACGUUGUCAGAAGCAUGAUCUUGCAAGAACGCGUCAGUAUAUAUUACAGCGAGAUGUUAUGAAUGAAUACGUAACUUCCGGUGUACAUACUAGAGAUCCCGUUAUUUGAUAAGACACUUUUCCAAAAAUGUGAUUGUAGCAAAACUGUAGCCUUGAGUCCUUCUGUUCAGCGUUUAAAGGUGUUUUUUGGGCACCAAAUGCUUACAAUUUUGUAUUACUCUUUUUACAGUGGAAACACGGGCACUGGGCUCACUUUUAGCCUUUAUUUUUCUGCAGAGCCACUCGAAUUGGAAGUUUUAUCAAAAUAUACCGAAUUUCCGAUUCCGUGGUCGCCUUUUUGUUUUCCUUUCAUAUUUUUUUCAUAUGACGUCGGAUGCAGUAAAAAUUUGAAGGCGUUUUCACAUUGCCACAAUACAAUAUGUACCUAUUCAAAUAACGCAAAUUUUAGAACACUUUUUUUGACUUGUUUAUUAAAACACCUAAUUUUCAAUAGACCGAUCUUUAAAACAAAGCUUAAAUGAAACUUCUGCGAUCUCUAAAUUAAGAGAUAUAAAUAUAACUUAAAAACAUAAUAUGUACCUAUGCAUGUGAAUCGGGUGUAUAUUUUUUUGAUUUUAAAAUGGAUGUGUAGAGUUUUUACGGUAAAAAAUUCAGGAACCUUUCUGCGGCCACCGAAUGUGUUGGUUCAAGCGAUCGCGCUCAUUUCGAUUGAUACAAUUGAACCGUUGCAUACCGCUGAUCAUGAAGAAAAGACGUAAGGUGAAUGUUCAUCAGCCCAAAUUAAUAGCACAAUAUAACACGUGAACGCGAGAAGGUGACCCAAAGUUUCGGGCAAAGAAAUGGUUUCAUUUAUAUCAUAAGUUCUAUCAUAAGUCAACUCUUGGAAACUUUACAAAAUUUAAGGUAACGGCCAAUGUGACUUAAUAUGUGCGAUUUUACUUACACAAUCAUAAUAUCAAGUCAUAAAUGAAACGAUCAACAACAAAAUCAUUAGCUGGUUCUUCAUUCAACCAUUUCCAAAACUAAUCCCGAACCAGCUCAGAUGCAGCGAGUGUCACCAAAGAAUUCGGUCAAUUUGUGAGCUAUGUAAUAUAGCACUUAGCAUAGAGAGGUGGUUAUCAAGAAUCAAUUAAUUUUUUUUUUUAUAUAACUGCAACUUUACAGAUUCAUUUUAAUAAUUUUAAUAAACACCAUAAAAUUGAAAUUAAAAAUAAUUUUGUGUAUGGCAUGCCACCACAGUACCUUCUGGCUAUCACUUUCUUUAGGUUUGUAUUACGAAUACAUAUUUUAUUUAUGGAAGAUGAGGUCAUGUGUAGAAGUUCUAUCCUACUAUCCAACUAUCUACUGGGUAGCCAACAGACAUCCGUUUGGAGGCGAAAUAAGUGAGAAGGCGAAGCCCGUCUCUGUGAAUGUGCGAAGGUUAAACAAAACAAUCAGAAGCUCGGUUGAAAAACAAUCCUGAAUAACGACACCUGCAAACGAUUAGAGGGCAUGUACCUGAAAUGCUCGGACCCUUGUGAAAUCUACUAGAACGAAACUAUGAGCACGGGGCGAUUUCAACACUAAAGGGUAAAAAAAGUGUUUUCGGCACAAGUCGAAAAAUUCAAUUCACAUGACGAAACAUCGCCAAACGGCUUGGGAGUGAUCGACUUCACUGUGGCCCGAAAUAUGGUUGUCUGUAGUACUAGAUUCCGACACAAUAGAAUUCAUCAAGCUACAUGGCUGUGAUAUACGGGAGACAAUUAGAUUUCUGCAACGCAAAAAAAAAGCUGGUACGAUGAGGACUGUCGUUUCGCAGUGGAGUGAAAACAGAUUGCUUACCUCGCAACGUAGCAAUCGACCACAACACUUGAGAGCAGAAGAGGAUGCAGAAGCGUGGACGAUGUCGACAUUCGAUGAGAUGACACGAGAGAAAGAUUUUUCGGAAGAUUUAUAGUCCUUUGAACAUUGACAACGGCGAAUACCUCAUACGAUGGAACAAUGGCAUAUACGAGUUAUACGACGACAGCGAUGUAGUUCAGCGAAUAUAAAGACAGCGGUUACGCUGGUUAGGUCAAGAUGUCCGAAUGAACGAACGUAUUCUAGCUUUGAAAGUGUUCGAUGCGGUACCCGCUAGUGGAAGCAGAGGAAGAGGAAGAAUAAGUCCUCCACUCUGUUGGAAAGACCAGGCGGAAAAGGACCUGGCCGCACUUGGUAUCACCCAAAGAACGAAUGGUGCGAUGUCGUUAACUCGGCUAUAACCAAGUAAGCGGUAGACAGUUAAAAAGAAGAAGUAAUGACCUGUUUACUCGAAGAGACCGAAAACUAUUCGUCGUCUUUCUUCGAUUCCGACUCCUUCCCUUUGGCUUCUUCCUUAUUUUCUGCAAAGUCGCUGCUGGAGCCGAAGAUAUCAGGUAAGCACGUGAAUCCAUAGUGGUAUACUAUAUAUAAAGCAAAUCAAAGAACCGGAAAAUAGUUGCAAUAAAUAUUUGGAGACUGGAGAAAGGGAUCUGAAGCCACCUUUUUUAAUAUAUACUAUACUUACAUAGAAGAAGUGUGGACUAGUGCUGAGGCGCACACACCCUCAACCUACUGCCAACUGCUGCACCAAAUUCUUAGCUUAAUUGUUGACUGAGUUGUGAUCUGUUCGAUAUUAAAAAAAUAAUUAAAAACACUUAGUAAUCUUCUUUCCCAAAACGUUUUUCCUUUUUUUGGAAAUAAAAAAAAUAUUAAGUCAAUUAGAGUGUACCAUUCAAUAAUUUAAUAUUAUAUGUAUUAUGUUUUUCUUAACAUUUCCUAUCCAUAUGAGAUAAUACAAAUACGUAACAAAAUCACACAAAUAGUUAAAAAUAAUAAUAAUUGGCUUUGCUAAAACGUCUUGUAAACAAAGCAAAUUUUCUCUAAUCAAGUUUAUUAAUAUAAUGCAGCUCAACUAAAAAAGUAUACAGAGUUCAAAACGUUUCGAAGAUCAAAUUUCCCCUUUCUCGGCAUUUCCCCU